UCAAGUAAUCCUCCCACCUCAGCCUCCUGAACCACUAGGACCACAGGCACACACUACCACACCUGGCUAAACACCAGCACAUAUCUUGGUGAAGUAUUCAAAGUCAGGGAUAAGGAAAGCAUGAUUAAGGUAUCUGGGCUGAAGAGGUACAUUCCAGAGAAAGGGCAGAGGUCAUGGGCUUUCCCAUGGUGAGGUCAGGGUCAGGCUCAGCAAAGUUCUGCAAGGAAAAAAAGCCCCAAACCAAAACCACAUGGCCUAGGAACUUGACACCCACCCAAGCUGUCCUUCAAGUGUAAAGCAAUGGAGAGCAUCCCAGAACUUAAGAUGCAGCAUCCUCCCGCUCUGUCGUCACAGAGCCCCAGGCAGGAGCUGGGCUCAGGGUCUCACUGGGCUGGACACUCUGCCCUGUGAACGAGGGGGCGCCUCAUCCCACAGGGCGCUCGAGGGGCAGCACCUCCUAGAAGUGCUGCCCGUGCCCGGGUCAGGCACACCCAGGGUUGGGUGCUGGCACUAGCAGAUACUGACAUAGUAGUGGGCAGGUGAUUCUGCCUGCCUGAGACCCAAAAGAGGGCUGGAAAUCACCCAGGACAAAUUAGAAGCCCACAAGUUCUCACCCUAUGCACACAUCUGGACAAAUGUCCGCCUCUGCCUUCCCUGCACUGUGGGGGACUGUCUGGCUCGAGAUCUCGAUUCUGGCCCAUUAACAUCCGGACGCUCCUGAGGCACCGAAUAAACUGUGGCCUUCGGAAUUUAUCUUGUGAAUAACGCACGAUGCAUGAGGCCUCCCCGCCCUCCAGAUCCAGGUGUCAGGUUUUCAAUUCUCAGGUCCACACCCGCCAGCCCUGCAGCGCGGGGCGGGCUCUGCAAACCCGCGUGGAUGGACCAUCAUGCUAGGCUCUGCCGCUAGGGGCGCCAGAGAAAGGGACGAGCCUCGGGCGGAGGGAGGGACACACUCCUUCCGGCCUGCCUGCGGUCCUCCCGCGUCUCUUCCGGGCAUUGCUGUGCAACUCUGGGGAAGUCUGGGUGAGCGUCCGCGUCUUCGCUGAGGCAGUUUUAUCGCGCCCCUGCGGGGGCUCCAGCCAGGACGACCCCUCCGCGGAGAGGGGUCCCAACCCUUGGGACCGAUGAUUCCAAUCUCUUCCCUUUGUUUCCGCAGCUGUAGAGUGGUAGCCGCUCCCUGCGGUGCUCCCUCGGAGGUGCCUUAGGGUUCUCUUCGUGCUUUUUCGGUUGCCGAGUUAGCCAGCUUAUACGUAGUUACAAUUCAUAAAAUUCUGUCUGUUGAAAUAACUGGUGAGGCUUCUGUCUCCUGACUGGAUCUUCAGUGCUCUCUCCGCCCUCCCUCGCAUACAUGCCCAGGCCUCCGGGCUCCUCUCUGGCGCUCUCAGCAUCGCCCUGCGGGGUCUCUCCGUCCUCUCCUUUAGACUUUGACCUUCUGUUCAGGCUCUUUCUCCCUCCUAGUCUGAAGUAAGGACUGAAAAAAGCUGACCAGGACCUAGGCCCUGUGCUAGGUGCUGUGAUGAAGCAAGGACAGACCUGGACCAGUCCUUGUGAGUAUUUGUGUGUGUGUGUGUGUAGCAGACACCUUGCCACGUGAUGGAGUAAGGACGUGGGACAACAGAGAGCCAUGUUUCUCAUUAAAGUAAUAUCGUGAAUCUAUCAAGCAUGCAAAAACAAGUGAACAUGUUGAAAAGGUUGUGGGGAUUUUAAAAGUGUCAUAGAUAGGGGCCUUGCCAAUUUGUUAUCCUUGUCUGGAGAGUAACCAGCACUGGGCUGUGGUGUUUCUGGAGAAAAUUAACAUUUGAAUUUAUGAACUGUGUGGAGCAGGGUGCUCUCCGUAAUGUGAGUGGGCCGCAUCCAGUCAGUUAAAGGCCUGAGCAGGGAACUUCUGUUUGACUGUUUGAACUGGGACAUUUCUUUUCCUGCCUUCAAACUCAAACUGAAACAUCAGUUCUUGGCUCUCAAGUCUGCUGGCUUUCAGAAUGGAACUUACACCUUUGGCUCUCCUGCCUCCAGCUCUGCGUCUUGAGACUGCUCAGCCUCCAUAAUCAUGUGAGCCAGUUCCCUAUAUUCUCUCUCUUCUCUCUCCCUCCCUGCCCACCACAUACUCUAUUAGUUCCGUUUCUCUGGAGAACCCAAUACGUCAUUUUACUAAUUAGGAAACAGAUUCAGAGAGGUUAAUACAACCUCACAGUUAAGUGUGGAGUUGAGCUUUAAAUUUCAAAGUUGAUUUAAAUCUAUGUAAAAAUAAAAACCAUUGUAUCCAACUGAAAACUCUCCCAGCUAAAGCUCAUUUAUUUGCUAAUCCAUAGGCAUGUACAGCCCGCUCCAAGGCCUCCACACAAAACCCAAGCCUGAGACCAGGUCAGCUCUCAGUCCUCCCUUCCCGUGGCUGGGGUUCCUGCAAGCUGUUCAGAGGGCCCCCUUUUUUUUGCAGCUCCAGUGCUUUGGAGUUCAGCAUCCCUCUAGGGCAUUUCCUUCUGUGGCCCAAAGCAGACACUGUGCCAGACACAAUCACUUCCUGGGUUCUGAAACACAACCCUGCUCCUGGUUCCUUGCCAGAUCCUCUUGAUGGUCCCUCACAUUGGCUGUGGCCAGCCAGGGCCUCAGGUGGCAGCCUGCUAUGACUGUCCACUUACACUGUCCCUGGGUGUUGACAGAGCCAUUGUGGGAGCCCUUUUUAUGGGGAUUUGUGCCGAGUAGUGCACAAAGAACUCAACACCCGACCUCCAUAUGCAGUGCCAGAAGGGCUGUGCUAGCUCCAUUUUCAGAGGCGGAAAUGGGUUCUAUGCAGGGCCUGGAAUCAGCACUGUUAGACCCCAGACCUGAGCUCCUGGAGACCAUCGGGUUCUGGUCACUUUGUGUAAGAGGGAGAGGCUGAAGGCCGGGAGCUCAGGAACUGUGUCAGAGAAGGGAUGGCAUGGUGGUGUGGGGUUGGUGCACCUUGGGCUCAGAUGUUGGCUGAGAGACCUCUGGAUGGCGCUGCGCCCAGAUUUGGUUCAGAGAACGCAAAGGCAGCAGCGCUGGAACUGGGGGCUCAGGAACCAGCCCUAGGGCUGGCAGGUGUUGACAGGGUGCCUUGGGUGAUGUAAACCAUGGAGGGGGACAGAGCGCAGCGUGGAUUCAUCGGGGACACCUAAGCGUCCCAGGAGGGCUCAGGGAGGGAUGAUGUCAUGUCCCAUUCAGCAAGGUGCUGAUGAACUGGGUGGGCACAAGGCAGAGAAAAUACCCUUAAAAGGUCACGUCUGGGUCCUACGGGGCCCACUCUGGGUUCCUGGGAAAUGCUGAGGGGAUCAGAUGGAAUGUUUGACAAUCAGUCCAGUGCUCUUGGGCUUGGAGAGGGAGCCAAGGACACCAAGGGAGACACAGGUACCAUUCCAGCUCAUCUUGGCAGGCCCUGCCCAACAAGAAAGGCCAAUGACCUUGCUGAGCUUUUAUGAGGUGGCUUGGAGGAGCUGCCCUGGCCUACGGCAUGCGCCAGGCCCCUCCCCCCAAGUUUUCCCAGCACGUGCCUGUGGCCCCAGGGUCUGGUGUGGGCCGUAGGGGAGUCAUCUGGUCCUACCCCUGCAAGGCUGUACACACUUGGCCCCAUCCCUCAAGGCACCCCGGGCCACUGGUGGAGAGUCUAGGACCACAGGGCAGUCCCUGCAGAGGCAGCUCCUCAGCCUGGCUGCCCAAGGGCCAAAGCCUCACGCUACACACUUGAGGUGAAGGGAAGGCGGGCAUGCGUUUUUACCCCCACCUCUCAGGCCCAAGAAUCAGAAUCUCAAGCCAAGGCCCACUAGGCGGCAGGGAAGUGGAUGGGCCCUGCCCUCACAGCUGUGUCCAGCCGUGACUGCAGAGCUCAUGAUGAGGAAUCGUGGCCUGCUGUUUCGGCAGGGGUCUGGAUGGCCAAGGUGGAUGGCUGGUCAGGGAGCCCUGGGGUUGGUCUGGUGUGCUGUCACUGCUCCUGUGACCUUGAGCAAGCUACGGGACACCUUGGACCCUCAGUAUCCUCUGGAAAAUGGGCUUGCUGGGGGCCAAUGACAUCAUAUGUGGACAGUGCAGGCACCCAGAGACGAUGCCACAAAAGCCACUAGCUUUUGUUUUCCAACAGGAUAAACGACCUGCUCCAGUACAGGUACAUCUGAAUCACAGCAGGAGAGGAGGGACUGGGGGAGUGAGACCUGGAGAGGUGCAGCCUGCAGAGGGGCAGGAUGACUAGUCAAGGUGGGGUGGGCCCCCCCAACCAUUCCAGAAUGUGCAGGUGGGGCAGGGAGAAAGUGCUGUUACACUUAUUCCUUGCCACCACCACCCAGCUGAGCUCGU